GCACGCGGGGCGCGUUCCGUCCCCCGUGUCCCCCCGUGUCCCCCCGUGUCCCCCCCCAGCUCCAUGGGGCCCCUCUGGGCGCUGCUGGCGGCGCUGACGCUGCCCCUGACCUCCCCCGAUCCGGCAGCUGAGCCGUGUCCCACCAUCACCGCCAACGUUCGCCGGGACAAUCAGGUCACCGUCCCCAUCAACUUCACCG